GUCUGCAUGGAGCCGACCUUGAAAUACCACCCUUUAAUGUUUGAUGUUCUAACGUGGACCCGUUACCCGGGUUGCGGACAGUGUCUGGUGGGUAGUUUGACUGGGGCGGUCUCCUCCUAAAGAGUAACGGAGGAGCACGAAGGUUGGCUAAUCCUGGUCGGACAUCAGGAGGUUAGUGCAAUGGCAUAAGCCAGCUUGACUGCGAGCGUGACGGCGCGAGCAGGUGCGAAAGCAGGUCAUAGUGAUCCGGUGGUUCUGAAUGGAAGGGCCAUCGCUCAACGGAUAAAAGGUACUCCGGGGAUAACAGGCUGAUACCGCCCAAGAGUUCAUAUCGACGGCGGUGUUUGGCACCUCGAUGUCGGCUCAUCACAUCCUGGGGCUGAAGUAGGUCCCAAGGGUAUGGCUGUUCGCCAUUUAAAGUGGUACGCGAGCUGGGUUUAGAACGUCGUGAGACAGUUCGGUCCCUAUCUGCCGUGGGCGCUGGAGAACUGAGGGGGGCUGCUCCUAGUACGAGAGGACCGGAGUGGACGCAUCACUGGUGUUCGGGUUGUCAUGCCAAUGGCACUGCCCGGUAGCUAAAUGCGGAAGAGAUAAGUGCUGAAAGCAUCUAAGCACGAAACUUGCCCCGA
rnacentral:rRNA from 4 species